rnacentral:rRNA from 1 species
GCUCAGAUUGAACGCUGGCGGCAUGCUUUACACAUGCAAGUCGAACGGUAACAGGUCUUCGGAUGCUGACGAGUGGCGAACGGGUGAGUAAUACAUCGGAACGUGCCUAGUAGUGGGGGAUAACUACUCGAAAGAGUAGCUAAUACCGCAUGAGAUCUACGGAUGAAAGCAGGGGACCUUCGGGCCUUGUGCUACUAGAGCGGCUGAUGGCAGAUUAGGUAGUUGGUGGGGUAAAGGCUUACCAAGCCUGCGAUCUGUAGCUGGUCUGAGAGGACGACCAGCCACACUGGGACUGAGACACGGCCCAGACUCCUACGGGAGGCAGCAGUGGGGAAUUUUGGACAAUGGGCGAAAGCCUGAUCCAGCAAUGCCGCGUGCAGGAUGAAGGCCCUCGGGUUGUAAACUGCUUUUGUACGGAACGAAAAGCCUGGGGCUAAUAUCCCCGGGUCAUGACGGUACCGUAAGAAUAAGCACCGGCUAACUACGUGCCAGCAGCCGCGGUAAUACGUAGGGUGCAAGCGUUAAUCGGAAUUACUGGGCGUAAAGCGUGCGCAGGCGGUUUUGUAAGACAGUGGUGAAAUCCCCGGGCUCAACCUGGGAACUGCCAUUGUGACUGCAAGGCUAGAGUGCGGCAGAGGGGGAUGGAAUUCCGCGUGUAGCAGUGAAAUGCGUAGAUAUGCGGAGGAACACCGAUGGCGAAGGCAAUCCCCUGGGCCUGCACUGACGCUCA